GUUCAAGAUAGGCACUUUAUUGAUAACCACAACAGCAACGUUUCGACCCCAAAAGGUCUUUGUCAAGCUGAUGACAAACGUUACACACACACAAACGUUACACUUUUAAUGCCAGUAGAGAGGGGCUGAGUAAGGGGGCAGGGCCGUAGUAGGGGGCUAGGGGCUGUAGUAGGGGGUAUGAGAUGUAAUUGGUGGGUUAGGAAAUGUAGUGGGGGUAUAGGGGCUGAAGUAGGUUGAUGGCUACAAUUUGGGAAAGGGGUUGUGGUGUGGGUGAUAUGGGUUUCAAUUGGGGAAGAGGAGCUGUAGCGGGGAUGUUAUGGGGGCUGUAGUAGGGGAGGCAUGGGGCUGAGGAAGGAAGACAGGAGCUGAGGGGGAGGACAGGAUCUGAGGGGGGAACACAUGAGCUGAAAGGUGGGGGGCACAGGAGCUGAGAGUGGGGACACACACCAGAUCUGAGAGUGGGGAAACGGAUCUGAGAGUGGAGGAGGGGACACCGGAUCUGAGAGUGGGGACACAGGAUGAGAGGUGGGGGGGACACAGGAGCUGAGAUGGGGACACAGGAGCUGAGAUGGGGACACAUGAGCUAAGAUGGGGAACACAGGAGCUGAGAUGGGGGGACACAGGAGCUGAGACGGGGGGCACAGGAGCUGAGAUGGGGGGACACAGGAGCUGAGAUGGGGGGACACAGGAGCUGAGACGGGGGAUAAAAAACUAAUGUGUAUUACCUUAGGCCAGGGAGGGGUGGGCAGGAGGCAUGAGCAGCAGUCAGUGCAGUCAUCCAGCCUCUCCUGAUGAUGUCAGAAGGAGGGGCGUGACUUCCUCUGCUCUUCUCCCUGACUCCCCAGCGGUCCUGUGAGAAGAGCAGUGAAAGCCACGCCCACUCCUCCUGACAUCACCACGGCCAGCCGUCUCCACUGGCUGCAGAGAGAGAGGUAAAUUGAAACAUCCGAGUCCCCAUCCAGAGACAGGGCCGGAGGCAGAGGCAGGGAUUUUGGAUCUUUCCUUUUUUUGCUGGAUGCAGACGGCCCUGCCCUGGUUUAAGGGCAGCCUGGCGGCAAUUGCCUUCUUGCCCCCUUCCCCCCCAUCCCAGCCCACCCCUAAAUGUAACCAACUAAACUGCUACAAGGUAACCGGCUAGUGUAACCAACUAAACUGCUACAAGGUAACCGGCUAGUGUAACCAACUAAACUGCUACAAGGUAACCGGCUAGUGUAACCAACUAAACUGCUACAAAGUAACCGGCUAGUGUAACCAACUAAACUGCUACAAGGUAACCAGCUAGUGUAACCAACUAAACUGCUACAAGGUAACCGGCUAGUGUAACCAACUAAACUGCUACAAGGUAACCGGCUAGUGUAACCAACUAAACUGCUACAAGGUAACCGACUAGAUUGUAACAGUGUAACCAACGAAACUGCUACAAGGUAACCGACCAGUGUAACCAACUUAGCUGCUACAAGGUAACCGGCUAAUGUAACCAACUAAACUGCUACAAGGUAACCGGCUAGUGUAACCAACUAAACUGCUACAAGGUAACCGGCUAGUGUAACCAACUAAACUGCUACAAAGUAAAUCCUGCCAGUGUAACCAACUAAACUGCUACAAGGUAACCGGCCAGUGUAACCAACCAAACUGCUACAAAGUAACCGCUAGUGUAACCAACUAAAUCCGCUACAAGGUAACCAGCUAGUGUAACCAACUAAACUGCUACAAG
rnacentral:lncRNA from 1 species